AGUUCGAUGUUUUUUGGGUGAUCGUGCUCGACUUCCCCCCAUAUGUUUUUCAAUAAAAUCAUGUUUUGACGCACCUGAAUGGGACUUUGCAGUCAUUUGUCUCUCACCUCAAAUUCGAACCACGACAGUCUCUUCAUAUAACAAUGGAUUCUUGAUCUUUGGUUUUUACGUAUUUGAACGACUUUUGAAUGUGCCAUGAGUUUGGGACAUCAUUCAUAAAUACUUGAAACACUCGUCUCACUCGUUCUGGAAGCUGCAGUUGUGAAAACAGCUUCUUUGUCAGAGGGCAUUUUACUGCUUGUGAGAACUCUGUUUUUCUGAAAUGUGUUUGAAACGACCCUGUAAAGUUGGACUGGUUCAGGAGAAAUUAUGAUUGAAGAUGGUUUGCCUUUAUAGAAGGACUUACUGAUGAAGUUUAGAUUUAGUUUAUUGCGAUUAUAUUCGGAGGUCGGAACACCAGUCACAGAACUUUUGUUGCUCUUCGAUGAAAAGUCGCAAAAAUAUCGGAGAGGAUCGGCUGCUCUGUGCGCAUGCGUCCUUCAGUCCGUCACUCGGAGGUUCCCUUCAGGCAGCUCGGAGCUCAGGUGGAAUAAAAACUGUCCUCCUGCUGCUGUAAAGGGAAACUGAGCGCUGCUGCUUGGGAGGCUGAAGAAGAACAUCUCCAGGAGAACAGAGGGACCCUCAUCACAGGGCGGGGACACGGCGCUAACCGGGCUAGCCGAUAGCCGUUAGCAGCAGCAGUCCGUUUAAAGUGCUGUUUUAUCAGAGUCCGAAUCAUGGCGGUCCAGGUGUCCGAGUCCGACCAGAUCAAACAGGUCCAGCAGGUGUCAGUAUGGAGCAAAACUGUGCCGACGCAGUGUCGAUACAGUUUGGGGAAUGUGCUGAAAUGCUUCACGAGGCCUCAUCUACCCAUCACUACAUUUCACCUCUUGUCUGAGAAGCUUCUUCAGUUCUGGGUUAGCUUCUCGAAUGAGUACUCCUUAGACUACGAUGACCUGGAUGACUGAGAACCUUCACAGAUAUACAGCAAGGAGGCCUGUGAGGGACAAAAAAGGAGAGAGCGACAGGUAAAAAUAAAUAGCUAAAAACAGAAUCAAUCAAAACAAACUCGAAUAUCGUCAAUGCCAGAACACUGUGCCAGCUUAUUGGGACCAAUACAUGAGGGGACAAGAAAGUAAUUAGUUUUAAUUUAGAAAUGAAAAAUUCCUUUAAAGAGUAGCUAAAAGCAAUGCACAUAAAUAAUAAAUAAAUGAAACCGUAUAAUUGAGAGAUAGGAUCAUGAAAUGUUUUUAAAGUAAAAAAUUAAGCACGUAAAUUAGAACGUAUGAUAAAAGUAACUUCAAAGAUAAAGUAUUUAAGAUAAGAUAAAACCUUAUUAAUCCCUCGGCACAGC